GAUGAACGCUAGCGGCAGGCUUAACACAUGCAAGUCGAGGGGUAACAGGGAUUGCUUGCAAUCCGCUGACGACCGGCGCACGGGUGCGUAACGCGUAUGCAACCUACCUUCUACAAGAGGAUAGCCCAGAGAAAUUUGGAUUAAUACUCUAUACGAUCAUUAACUGGCAUCAGUCAAUGAAGAAAACUCCGGUGGUAGAAGAUGGGCAUGCGUCCUAUUAGUUAGUUGGUAAGGUAAUGGCUUACCAAGACUUCGAUAGGUAGGGGUCCUGAGAGGGAGAUCCCCCACACUGGUACUGAGACACGGACCAGACUCCUACGGGAGGCAGCAGUGAGGAAUAUUGGACAAUGGAGGCAACUCUGAUCCAGCCAUGCCGCGUGCAGGAAGACGGCCCUACGGGUUGUAAACUGCUUUUAUACAGGAAGAAUUAUGCCUACGUGUAGGCAUUUGACGGUACUGUACGAAUAAGGAUCGGCUAACUCCGUGCCAGCAGCCGCGGUAAUACGGAGGAUCCAAGCGUUAUCCGGAAUCAUUGGGUUUAAAGGGUCCGUAGGCGGUCUGGUAAGUCAGAGGUGAAAUCCUGCAACUCAACUGUAGCAUUGCCUUUGAUACUGCCAGACUUGGGUUAUUGUGAAGUAGUUAGAAUGUGUAGUGUAGCGGUGAAAUGCAUAGAUAUUACACAGAAUACCGAUUGCGAAAGCAGAUUACUAACAAUAUACUGACGCUGAGGGACGAAAGCGUGGGUAGCGAACAGGAUUAGAUACCCUGGUAGUCCACGCCGUAAACGAUGGAUACUAGCUGUUCAACCAACAUUGGUUGGUUGAGUGGCUAAGCGAAAGUGAUAAGUAUCCCACCUGGGGAGUACGCUCGCAAGAGUGAAACUCAAAGGAAUUGACGGGGGCCCGCACAAGCGGUGGAGCAUGUGGUUUAAUUCGAUGAUACGCGAGGAACCUUACCAGGGCUUAAAUGUAAGUUGCAUAGAUCAGAGAUGGUCUUUUCUUCGGACUACUUACAAGGUGCUGCAUGGUUGUCGUCAGCUCGUGCCGUGAGGUGUCAGGUUAAGUCCUAUAACGAGCGCAACCCCUGUCGUUAGUUGCCAGCAAGUUAAGUUGGGCACUCUAGCGAGACUGCCGGUGCAAACCGUGAGGAAGGUGGGGACGACGUCAAAUCAUCACGGCCCUUACGUCCUGGGCUACACACGUGCUACAAUGGCCGGUACAGAGAGCAGCCACUACGCGAGUAGGAGCGAAUCUAUAAAACCGGUCUCAGUUCGGAUCGCAGUCUGCAACUCGACUGCGUGAAGCUGGAAUCGCUAGUAAUCGGAUAUCAGCCAUGAUCCGGUGAAUACGUUCCCGGGCCU
rnacentral:rRNA from 1 species